CAAGCUGUCCCUCAGCCGAGGCGGCGGGCGGGGGAAGGGGAGGAUGAAGGGAGAUUUCGAAAUGUGGGAACGUAGGAGAGAGUCCCAGAUUUGGGCAUUGCAAAGGUGUGUGUUGGGGUGGGGGGGUCUCAUUCACUCGUAGGACGAGGCUGCUUAACCAGGUGGAACAGCACCGAGGCGAGCACCUGUGUCUUUUUCUAAAAGGCGUGUACUGAUAAUUACAACAGUUAAUUGCAUUUCUUUGAAGGUCAUUUGAAGUUACGGGGCUGUGUUUUCUUUUCAGGCUAGCAGACAAUGCCUGUGCACUGUUUUAAAUGUAAAUCAGAGGGUAUCCGCAUAAACCUGUAUUGUAGGAUCGAGGCGUAAUGGAUUCACUCCGGCUGUGCCUGAGCUCGCCACAAUACAGCUGAGCCGCGGAGCUGGGAACGCGCCGGGGUUUCUUUGCGGAAACGCAGUUGCCGAAGAACAUGAAAAGCAUUAAAUCGUGACGGGAAGGGGGUGGCGGCGGAGGGGGGGAAAUACAUUUAUUCUCGGAAGAAAAGCUCGGGACCGGAGGCUGCGCUGCGGCAGCGCAGUCACCCAUCGCUGGCACCGGGAAGAUUCGCUCCCCAAACAAGCCCGGGACGCGCAUGUCACUCACCGGGGCACGGGGGGGGGGGGGAAGAGAGGGGCUGGCCUUGCGGUGCCGAGCACCGCCCUCGGGCAGCUCCCGGGACCCGGCUUUGUACACACGCACACACGCGCACACACACACACACCCAGCUGCGCUGAGCCGAGCCAGCCCCGGGGCCAGCCCCCGCCUGCUGCUGCCGCUGCUGCUAACGCGGCCGAUCUCGGUUACAGUCAGCCACCCAGCGGGGUUUGCUGCUGCAGCCGCCGCCUUCCUCCCCCUCCCCGGUCCCCGCCGCCCUUUUCCUUCCUGCUCGGGCUGGGCUGCCCCGGAGCUCCCGGCGCGGCGCGGCGGCGGCGCGUCCCCGCUCGCGGGCCGCUGCUGGCGGGGAGGCGGCUGCGGAGCGGCUGCGAAGGGGGACGGCUCUCCGAGCGCCCCCAUCGCGCGCCGAGCCCUUUAAUCAAUUUCACCCUAUUAAUUAUUAAUUUUACGCCAGUCAAGCUUGCCCAGGAGGAGCGGGCGGGCGCGGGGGGGAGAGGAGGCUGAUGUCAGUCGGAGGCGGCGGCGGGGCCGUGUGCCAGGCUCCCUGCUCAGCGCCGACCGAGCAACUUUCGGCUCCGCUGGCUCGGGCAGCUCCUCUCGCCGAGAGCCGGGGGAGGCUGCGGCUCCCAUUCCGGUGGAUGAUGCAGCCCCCCCCCCACACACAUACACAAAUACACACACACACACUCUCUCUCUUUCCUGCUCCCUCCCCUUCCCUCCCCACCCGCCCCCCCGUGUAGACACAUCCAUACAAGGGCCCAUUGCAUCGUAGCGAUGAUGGAUCGUGCCUAGCGGGGGUUAUUUGGUGUUGAUCGCAUAUUAUCACGGGCAGGUUGGACUGGUUGCUGAUGGACGGUUUUCUAGCAAGCCGCUCCUUCCGACGCUCGGGGAAGCAGCUCGAUCGAAAAGCAGCUUGCUUUUAACUCCUUCUCUCACCAGCACGCGUAGGGCAAAGCUUAGCAUCUGUCACAACAUCUCUCUGGGUAGCACUUUUUCCUCCUCCCACUCCAUUUUCGCCUCGGCAGCCCUGCCACCGGCUGGCUCUCUCCCGCACGCGGAGAGCGCCGGGCAGGGCUUUUGGGGGGGGCUGGAGGCGAGGGCUGGUUACCACCCCGGCUUUUCCGCGGACGAAAAGCGGAGCGAGCCGCCUGCGGGGCCGCGCGUUUGACUCAGCGGAGGGAAAUACCCGUGCGGGUCACCGCCGCCUGCACGGGAAGAGCCCCCAGCCUGCAGACCUGGCUCGUUCUUCGCCCGGGAGGGCUGCUCUCGCUCGCUCGCCUUCUCUCCCUUUUUGUGUAAGUGCAUGCAGAUACAAAGGCGGUUUCGUAAUGCCUCCCGUCUGCAAGAGCCGGGGACCUUGGCUAACCUUUCGAAAAACUGAUUGCAAGUGCCUGUUAACAGUCUGUACUGACCGCACG
ensembl:lncRNA